rnacentral:rRNA from 1 species
UACGUAGGGGGCAAGCGUUAUCCGGAUUUACUGGGUGUAAAGGGUGCGCAGGUGGCAGGGCAAGUCAGAUGUGAAAGCCCGGGGCUCAACCCCGGUAUUGCAUUUGAAACUGUCCGGCUAGAGUGCAGGAGAGGUAAGCGGAAUUCCUAGUGUAGCGGUGAAAUGCGUAGAUAUUAGGAGGAACACCAGUGGCGAAGGCGGCUUACUGGACUGUAACUGACACUGAGGCACGAAAGCGUGGGGAGCAAACA